CAGACCAGAGCCUUAUCUCUGUCUGUGUAAACUCUAUAUAACUCUGCUGUAGUCCAGACCAGAGCCUUAUCCUUAUCUGUCUGUCUGUCUGUUGGUGUUGUUUAUCCUCCAGGUGUCUGUCUGUUAGUGUUGUUUAUCCUCCAGGUCUCUGUUUGUCUGUUGGUGUUGUUUAUCCUCCAGGUGUCUGUCUGUCUGUUAGUGUUGUUUAUCCUCCAGGUCUCUGUCUGUCUGUUGGUGUUGUUAAUCCUCCAGGUCUCUGUCUGUCUGUCUGUUGGUGUUGUUUAUCCUCCAGGUGUCUGUCUGUCUGUUGGUGUUGUUUAUCCUCCAGGUCUCUGUCUGUCUGUUGGUGUUGUUAAUCCUCCAGGUCUCUGUCUGUCUGUCUGUUGGUGUUGUUUAUCCUCCAGGUCCCUGUCUGUCUGUUGGUGUUGUUUAUCCUCCAGGUGUCUGUCUGUCUGUUGGUGUUGUUUAUCCUCCAGGUGUCUGUCUGUCUGUUGGUGUUGUUUAUCCUCCAGGUGUCUGUCUGUCUGUUGGUGUUGUUUAUCCUCCAGGUGUCUGUCUGUCUGUUGGUGUUGUUUAUCCUCCAGGUCUCUGUCCUCCUCUCAGGGUAGGAGGCUACAUGGUUGGCAUGUCAAACAUAUCACCAUCACUACAGAUUUCAUGUAUCUGCGUACACAGUACACACACACACACACACACACACACACACACACACACACACACACACACACACACACACACACACACACACACACACACACACACAGUACACACAGUACACACAGUACACACACAGUACACACACACAUGCAGUACACAUGUACACACAGUACACACACACACACACACACACACACACACAUCACUACAGAUUUCAUGUAUCUGCGUACACAGUACACACACACACACACACACACACACACACACACACACACACACACACACACACACACACACACACACACACACACACACACACACACACACACACACACACACACACACACAGCCAGUC
rnacentral:lncRNA from 1 species